rnacentral:rRNA from 1 species
CCCUACGGGGCGCAGCAGUGAGGAAUAUUGGUCAAUGGGCGGGAGCCUGAACCAGCCAAGCCGCGUGAGGGAAGAAGUAUUUCGGUAUGUAAAGCUCUAUCAGCAGGGAAGAAAAUGACGGUACCUGACUAAGAAGCUCCGGCUAAAUACGUGCCAGCAGCCGCGGUAAUACGUAUGGAGCAAGCGUUAUCCGGAAUUACUGGGUGUAAAGGGAGCGUAGACGGAUGUGCAAGUCUGAUGUGAAAGGCGGGGGCUCAACCCCUGGACUGCAUUGGAAACUGUAAAUCUUGAGUGCCGGAGAGGUA